GUAACAAGGUCUCCGUUGGUGAACCAGCGGAGGGAUCAUUACCGAGUACUAUAACUCAUAACCCUUUGUGAACCUUCAUACCUGUUGCUUCGGCGGCGCGCCUCUCGGGGCGUGCCCGCCGGCAUUAUCAGAAUCUCUGUUCGAACCCGACGAUACUUCUGAGUGUUCUAAGCGAACUGUUAAAACUUUCAACAACGGAUCUCUUGGCUCCAGCAUCGAUGAAGAACGCAGCGAAACGCGAUAUGUAAUGUGAAUUGCAGAAUUCAGUGAAUCAUCGAAUCUUUGAACGCACAUGGCGCCUUCCAGUAUCCUGGGAGGCAUGCCUGUCCGAGCGUCGUUUCAACCCUCGAGCCCCCGUGGCCCGGCGUUGGGGACCUGCCCAGGCAGUCCCCGAAAACCAGUGGCGGACCCGACGGGCCCUUCCUUUGCGUAGUAACAUCUGCCUCGCAUCGGGAGCCCCCGGGCUAUCCGGCCUCUAAACCCCCCUCAAGCCCGCUCCGGCGGCACCAAGGUUGACCUCGGAUCAGGUAGGAAUACCCGCUGAACUUAAGC
rnacentral:misc_RNA from 1 species